rnacentral:lncRNA from 12 species
ACUACAUAUGAGACUGGCUUUCCCACAGUGUUCCCAGCAGAUCCUGCUCCUGUGUCCAUUUCUCCUUGGGAAUUUCAGCUUCCCUUGCGUGCCAUGGGAUCUCAGCUCUCCCCUUGUGUCCCCAGGUGAUGCUGGCAGCCUCCUACUGGUCCCUGCUGGCCCCUGCCAUCGAGCUGGCUGAGCAGUCUGGUGCCUUUGGAGCCUUUUCCUUCUGCCCCGUGGCUGCAGGCUUUGCCCUGGGAGCAGCUUUUGUCUACGGGGCUGAUCUGCUGCUGCCAGUGCUGAAUUGUAGAAGAGAAGUUUCCCACAAGGAAGAGCAGAAAAGGAUCUCCUCCAUCCACCCUCUGACUGCUGCACCAGCCCCUGUUUAUCCGGGGCUGCCAGUGCUCCCCCAGCUCUUCUUUGAUCUCAGAAUGUGCUUUGGAAUUUGCUCAAAGCACAACCCCAAAUUAAUUCCUCCACAGUGAAAGGCAAACCUGCCAUUAAGGUGUCAGAAAAAGCAGCAGGAGAGGAUCUGGGGGAAGGCAGAGGAGAGGGAAGCUGAUUCCAUGGGGGAUCACAGGGGGGGAAAAAAAAAAAUAAAAAAAAAAAAAAAAAAAAAAACGGCCAAACCAGCAAAUCCCGGCCCCUCCAGCCGAGCCCGAGCUCUGAGGGGAAAAAAUCCUUUAGGCAGGAAAGGUGUCCUUUUAUAUGGGGAAAAAAAAAAAGGACCAUUUUUGAUGCAAAAUAGGUAAUAAUUUAGAUUUUUAAAAUAAUGUAUCUUUUUAGGCAAAGCACAACAAAAAGUCCACAAAAAACCCAACAGAAACCAACAGAAAUCCACAAAAAAUCCACAAAUAGCCCAACAAAAGCCAACAGAAAUCCACAAAAAUCUAAAUAAAAAUCCACAAAAAUGCACAAAAAUCUAAAUAAAAAUGCACAAAAAUCUAAAUUAAAAUCCACAAAAAACCCAACAAAACCACACCAAAAACACACCAAAAAAAAUCCACAAAAAGCCCAACAAAAAUCAACAAAAAUCUAAAUAAAAAUCCACAAAAAACCCAACAAAAACACACCAAAAAAUCCACAAAAAGCCCAACAAAAACCAACAGAAAUCCACAAAAAAAUCCACAAAAAGCCCAACAAAAGCCAACAAAAAUCCACAAAAAUCUAAAUAAAAAUGCACAAAAAUCUAAAUAAAAAUCCACAAAAUACCCACAAAAAACCCAACAAAAACACAUCAAAAAGUCUACAAAAAUCCCAACAAAAAUCCACUAAAAACCCACAAAAAACCUAACAAAAAUCCACAAAAACACACCAAAACCACACCAAAAAAUCCACAUAAAACCCAACAAAAACCCACAAAGACCCACAAAAAACCCAACAAAGACCCACCAAGAAAAGCACAGGAAUGUUUUCCCUGCUUUUGCCAAAAAAACCCAAAAACCAACAACAAAAAACCCCAAAAAACAACAACAAAAAAAAACAACAAAAAAAACCCCAACAAAAAAAAAAAUUAAUUUAAUUUAACCUUCAUUAAACCCUGCCCAGCACCACUUCCACCCCUUUUCCCACCUGGAUUUCCACAUGUUUUUUUUUUUGUUUUUUUUUUUUUUUGGGGGGGGGGGGGGGGGGGGGG